UACGUAGGGGGCAAGCGUUGUCCGGAAUCAUUGGGCGUAAAGCGCGUGUAGGCGGUUCGGUAAGUCCGCUGUGAAAGUCGGGGGCUCAACCCUCGGAUGCCGGUGGAUACUGUCAGGCUUGAGUACAGACGAGGUAGGCGGAAUUGAUGGUGUAGCGGUGAAAUGCAUAGAUACCAUCAAGAACACCGAUUGCGAAGGCAGCUUACUAGGCUGUAACUGACGCUGAGGCACGAAAGCGUGGGGAGCGAACAGG
rnacentral:rRNA from 1 species